rnacentral:lncRNA from 9 species
CACUGAGGAUAGCCUGAGAGGUGAAGGAGCAGAGCAGGGGGUGGGCAGUGGGGUCCCUCCUCAGACCUGCCUUCCAGCCAAGGCCUCAAAGAUGAGGCCCAGAAGGGAGAUAGGGUGAGCCAAGGAGGGCCAUGGAUUUUCGGGGGCCAGGGCUGGUUUUAUGGGUGCAGCCUGCGCUGACACACAGUGCCCAUACUUAGAAGGGCCUGGACUUGCUUUCAUGCUCUGUUGUCACGCUCUUAAAUUCUUAAUAAUUUUUUAGCAAACAGCCCCACAGACUCUGCAGCGGGUCUUGUAUGAGGGCGGGGAUGUUUAUACACAAAGGGCUGGAGACAGAGUUGGAAGGUGUUGGAGCAGCCAAUCCAUCAUCAACAACUCUAGCAAAGGAUGAAGGACCUCGGGCCUCCCUGACCUGGACCACAUGGACUGCGUGCUUCUGGAGGGGAGGAGACAUGCGGAGCAGCCCCGACUCAACAGGUUACAGCUCCUGGGAAGCCGAGGCCAGUGACCUAAGUCAAACCCAGAGAAGAGGGUCGCAGAGGGAACUCAGUGAAACUGGCAGCGAGACCUGCUUCUUCAGGGGAGGAAGCAAACCUGCAGCCAGCUCCCUGCUCUCAUGGACCCCUCUCAGGACCUUCCUUCUCAUGGAUCCAGAGUUGGAAAUUUCCCCAGACACUGGCUUCUCCAGGGAUGGCCAGAUCCAAGGCCACACCCUGGCCGGGGGUUAGUGAGAGGGCACCUGGGAAUUGGCAUUUCUUUAGAACGUCUCAGUCUGGGAAUCUCUGGUGAGCCUCAGGCCCUGGCAGGUUGCUUACUCCUCACUAGUUACGAGUGAGCAAACUCAGGCUCGGGGAGGGGAAAGGACUGAAGGGAGUCACACACGAAGGGAGUGGAAGGAGUUCCCAUCAUGGCUCAGCGAAAACGAAUCUGACUAGCGUCCGUGAGGAUGCAGCUUCCAUCCCUGGCCUCGCUCAGUGGGUUAAGGAUCCAGCAUUGCCGUGAGCUGUGGUGUAGGUCGCAGAUGAGGCUGGGAUCUUAUGUGGCUGUGGCUGUGGUGUAGCUUGGCAGCUAUUCCUGAAGGGCCUGGGGAGGGUCUGUCCCCUCCUCUUCCAGCUUCUGGAUACUCCCAGUGUUCCUUGCUUUGUGGACACAUCCCUCCACCCUCUGCCCCCGUCGUCACAUGGCCUUCUGCUCCGUGUGUCUGCAGGUGUCCUCUCUUCUUACAAGGACAGUAGUCAUUGGAUGUACAGCCCACCCUAAAUCUACGAUAAUUAUACCUCGAGAUCCUUAAAAUAUCGCACUGCAAAGACUCUAUUUCCAAAUAAGGUGACAUUCUCAGGCUCCAGGUGGACAUGAAGGGUGGCAAGAGUGUGGUUAUUCAACCCAUGACAAAGCCUUUCUUCAUAAAGAGAUCCAUGGACAGACUGGAGGCCUGCUUUGGGCUCCUAACCCCCAGCCUCAGAGGCUUCUGGCAGCCUUAAACCUUGGGGCCAAUGGACCUGGGGAGGUGGGGAGGUGGUUCAGGCCAGGAGCUGCACAUUCAAGUUGCUGGGCACAGUGACCCAGCUCCCCUGUGCCAGGCAGGCCCCCCCAACCCCAGCUGCUGUGAGUGUGAGCUGUUGACUUCUGAGAAUUGCCCCAGCCGACUGGAGAUGCCUGGCCUGAAAUGCUGGCUAUUUCCGGACAGAAGCAACAAAUGAACGAUACUGGGAUUCAAAAGGCCAGUCUCCGGGCUCCAGGAGGGACACAUUCCGUGAUGCUAUUCAUACUCCAGAGCUCCUCAUGGGACCAGCCAAGGGAAGGCCUCCGCUGAAACCACCUGUUUGCUAAGCAUCCUCUCUACUGCUUCUGCUUCCCUCACUAACUUACAGCCCUCUUUCAAAAACUUACUUGCGGAGUUCCCAUCGUGGCACAGCGGAAACGAAUGACUAGGAACCAUGAGGUUGCAGGUUCCAUCCCUGGCCUUGCUCAGUGAGUUAAGGAUCCAGCGUUGCAUGAGCUACGGUGUAGGUCGCAGACACAGCUUGGAUCCCAAGUUGCUGUGGCUGUGGUGUAGGCCAGCAGCUGUAGCUCCGGUUAGACCCCUAGCCUGGGAACCUCCAUAUGCUGCAGGUGUGGCCCUAAAAAGCAAAAAACAAACAAAUAAACAAAAAUCCAAAAAAAAAAAACUCACUGGCACAAAUAUCCCAGCCUCAGUAUCUGCUUCUAGGCAACCUGACCUAAAAUAGUAGGUGAGCGAGGCUGUGUGUGACAGGUAGAGGAACAGACACAGGGGCCUCCUGCCCAAGCCAGCAAACCAUCCAGCCUCUCCCCUUCACUCAGCCCUCUCUCGUGUUUAUUGGGUGGGUGCACCAUGGGCAACAGACACCCUCGGGGUGGAGGGGGUGGAGUGGGCAUGGCGGAGGAAGAAGGGAAAAUAAAUAGGUCUCACCAUGGAGCUUGUAUUAUGAAAAUAAGAUGCACGGGCGUGAGCCAACUUGAGAGAAAUUACAGAGGGAUGUGUCAGCAUGCCCAAACCAGCCAGCAUCUCUUGGUUAUCCCAGAGGACAAGUCAUACAGGGAGUCUGCACAGGAAUUCCUUUCUAGGUACCCUCUCUACUCCCUACCCCUGCC